rnacentral:sRNA from 1 species
AUUUUUUUAGGAAGCGGGGGAACCAACCGUGGCUCAUGAGUCACAUGGGGUGAAUCUCAAAACAUUGAGUAGGGCACUCUCAAGCCCGAAUCCGUCAGCUAACCUCGUCAGCGCAUUGAGAGAG